rnacentral:rRNA from 1 species
GAUGAACGCUGGCGGCGUGCCUAAUACAUGCAAGUCGAGCGAACAGACGAGGAGCUUGCUCCUCUGACGUUAGCGGCGGACGGGUGAGUAACACGUGGAUAACCUACCUAUAAGACUGGGAUAACUUCGGGAAACCGGCGCUAAUACCGGAUAAUAUAUUGAACCGCAUGGUUCAAUAGUGAAAGACGGUUUUGCUGUCACUUAUAGAUGGAUCCGCGCCGCAUUAGCUAGUUGGUAAGGUAACGGCUUACCAAGGCAACGAUGCGUAGCCGACCUGAGAGGGUGAUCGGCCACACUGGAACUGAGACACGGUCAAGACUACUACGGGAGGCAGCAGUAGGGAAUCUGACGCAAUGGGCGAAAGCAUGACGGAGCAACGCCGCGUGAGUGAUGAAGGUCUUCGGAUCGUAAAACUCUGUUAUUAGGGAAGAACAAAUGUGUAAGUAACUAUGCACGUCUUGACGGUACCUAAUCAGAAAGCAACGGCUAACUACGUG